GACUUUUCUUGGAGUCCAAAGCAAACAGAUGUUCUGUCUCCCACAAUGAUGCUGAGCUACUUACAUUUUUUCCCCUUGAGAGUCAAUAGUAGUACACAUAGUACAAUAGGAAUUUUAUUCAUUUUCAUGGGAAGCAACUGCACCAUUUACAUAGUCAAUAGACUGUGACAUUUCCAGAAACAAAACUCUGUGAAUGGAAUUAAGAAAAUUAUUGUCCUUGAGAGAAAGAAACUAUUACAAGUGGCUGCACUGAGAGAAUUAGGGCCAUUGUUCCAGGGACCAAGUUGAUUCGGGUCUGGUUGGGAGGUCCAUCUCUGCGACACGGACUAAGAGUUUCUCUCUUGAAAUAAAUUUACGUUGGACCUGAACAGACACCUGGCUCUGCAUAAAAGGAAAACCGAUGGCUUGCAUGUGGACCUCCUCUGUCAUCCCUAAUAUUCAGCACCUCGAAAUCUCAGACAUGAGUAAAGGAAGGGGGAGAGUUUCUUCUGUGGGAGUCAAGUGACUCUCCAGGAAACAAGCAGGGAACAGGUUGGACCAAACAGGGCAGAGAUUCAAAGAUGGAGGACAGAUGAGAGGGGCUUAAAAUGAACACGGAUAACUUCCCCUGAGGGGGAAGGGAGAAGAGGUAUUUAAGAAGUAAAUAAGGAUUUACUCUCACAUAAAGAAAAUGUUUUGAAAUAUGGACGAUAAAAGGACAUCAUCUUCAUCUUCUCUCUCUGUUUCGUAAUGAAAUCUAAAGGAAAAAUUAUGAUCUUAGGUUUAUGGAACAAACAAAAUCUCUAAGUCACCAGUGAUGCAGGCAAGUGAGGCACUCAACUGUGUAACAUUAUACAGAAAAAGAUGAAAAGAGAAAUGGCCUUUUUCUUCAAAGUUAUUGACAGUGAAGUUUCAGGGAGAGUAAAACAUUUUGAGAGCCAAGUCACACGAUAAGAACUACAUUUACUCUUCUAGCACAAAAUAGGGGAUCAUUAAAUGUCGUUCAAUAAAUAAAGGACUGAAGGUGAAUCAAAACACAAAUUAUUUUUUCAAGAUCUACGUACUCAGUACAAAGAAAUCUAAGACAUGGUCUCUGCAUUCAACAAGAACUACAGCGUAGUUGGGGAAGAAUUACCCCCCACCCCCAUUUAGUCAUGUGAAAGUUAAAAAAAUAGAGAAUUGAAACUUUUUAAGAGAAUAAUAGAAGAAAUAUAAUAAACUAAAGAUAGGUAGGAUUUAAAAAAUAAGGACGGUGUAUAUCCUGUAAGGAGUUAUGAGAGCAGAAACGGUGUCAUGGAAAAGAGCGAAUAAACAGAAUUAGUUGCAGAAGAGGUUAUUGGAAUACCAAAAAUAAAAAAUAAAAAUAAAGUUAGAAAUAUGGUUUAGAAUCAGACCAUAAAGACACACCUUGUUAUGAACUGAAUGUCUGUGUCUCCCCCAAAUUCAUGCUGGAGCCCUUAACCCUUCAGUGACUGGAGAUGGGGCCUUUGGGAGGUAAUGAGGGUUAGAUGAGGUUAUGAGGGUGGGGCCCUCGUGGUGGGAUUAGUGCCCUUAUAGAAAGAGACACCAGAGAUAUCACGCUCGCUCGCGCUCUCUCUCUCUCUCUCUCUCUCUCUAUCUCUCUCUCUCUCUCUCUCUGUCAUAUGAAGACAUAAUAAGAAAGUGGCGGUCUGUGAGCUAGGAAGAGAAUCCUCAUCAGCAAUCGAAUCAGCUGCCACCUUGAUCUUGGACCUCCCAGCCUCCAGGACUGUGAGAAAAAAAAUUAUAUUGUAUAAGCCACCCAUUCCAUGAUAUAUUGCCAUGGCAGCCCUAGUUGACUGCUGUACACUUCCGCCCGCAGAUAGUGGAAAAUAUUGGUUUUGAGACAGUAGUUUCAGGAAGAUAAGCGAUAAUUAAAUGAGCAUUUUAAAAGAUUAAUAUGCUGGAAGGCUGCAUGUUAGUGUACGGCAAACGAGGAGGAAGGAGGAAGGAAAGACAGCAGCGGCGGUGCCCAGUCAGAAGGCUUCACAGUAAGCAAAUGUGAUGAUGCACUAUCUCUGGGUCCCACAACAUGAAAGAAAGCACCGAGCAGAGGACAGGCAUGAAGGCAAGACCUGGUCAAAAGAAUACACCAGACCUGGUAGGUAGUUUGGGGAGGAGGUUUUGGAAUCAAGUGGGAAAUCUGAGGUGAGAUGCGUUUAGGGUCUGGAAGUAAGCAAGGCACAGAACCAAAACUGGCUGAGCAGGGGGUUGAGAAUUUGGAGGGCCAUGGGAAACAGAAUUCAAGGCAAAAGUAGUCACCAGGCAGAUAAUUAGGAAUUAGAUGGAUCCAGACAAGAAAAACAAACUUUAAUUAAGGACCAGAGAGACUAUACAAAACCUUGAGAAACAGACAAUUUGGGAUUGGAAAUUUAGGAGGUACUAUUAGGUAAAUGAGUGUUUUAUUCUUCAAAAUCUCUAUGGUAACUUAUCCAUCAGCCUUUGUUUUAACAUUUCUAGUGCUUCAACUAUGAAAGUAUCUCAUUCUUCUUUUGUACAGGCCUAUUUAUUAAGAAGUUAUUUGUUCUAACAUGAAGUCUACUUCAUUUAAAAAGAACUGAUAUUAGGUCUGUUUUCUACAGAUAUUUAACAUACGUUAAACUUCUACAUACUAUCCCCUCAGAUAACUGAAGAUGAAUAUCUCUGCCUCUUUCUAAGCAAGAUACCUCAACCUCCUUCAAACAUUCCUGGUAUAACUUAGUUCUAUAUUACUAUAUAUAGAACUGAAUAUAAUAUUCCAAUAGGCUCUGAUGAGUGAAAUUAUU